rnacentral:lncRNA from 1 species
CUAAGAUAGGAAUCAUUCUUAUUGAACUUAGAUCAAAUAGUUGCAAUACAAAAGGAAUUUGAGAUGUGAAAAGAGAGUUUGGGAGAGAAGAAUAACAACUUCACCAAUCACAUAACUCACAAAAUACUCUUAUUACACUAUUAAUAGUAACUCAUUUCUCCACAUAGUCUCAUUAUUUGGGCUGAAGUUGACUAACUCCUAUUUGGGCCUACUCAAUAUGGUGGGUUCAUUACAAU